rnacentral:rRNA from 1 species
GAUGAACGCUAGCGAUAGGCUUAACACAUGCAAGUCGAGGGGCAGCAUGAUCUUAGCUUGCUAAGGUCGAUGGCGACCGGCGCACGGGUGCGUAACGCGUAUGCAACUUGCCUUACAGAGGGGGAUAACCCGUUGAAAGACGGACUAAAACCGCAUACACUUGUAUUAUUGCAUGAUAUUACAAGGAAAUAUUUAUAGCUGUAAGAUAGGCAUGCGUCCCAUUAGCUGGUUGGUGAGGUAACGGCUCACCAAGGCGGCGAUGGGUAGGGGAACUGAGAGGUUUAUCCCCCACACUGGUACUGAGACACGGACCAGACUCCUACGGGAGGCAGCAGUGAGGAAUAUUGAUCAAUGGGCGAGAGCCUGAACCAGCCAAGUCGCGUGAAGGAAGACAGUCCUAAGGAUUGUAAACUUCUUUUAUACGGGAAUAACGGGCGAUACGAGUAUUGCAUUGAAUGUACCGUAAGAAUAAGCA